UGGAGCACGGAUCUAACAACAGCUGAAAAGAUUCAAAAUAGAAUGAAAAAGUCAAAUAGGUUGAAUGGCUGUCUGUUGUUCUUGCCAUUUCUUAUUUUGUUAUGUAUAAAUCUAAAUGAUCAAUUAUUGAUAACCUUUUCAGGUUCACAAAAACUUGGCCUUCCAAAAAAGGGGCAUAUACUGGUCCUGGAAACUGACGGAACUGAGAUUGAUGAUGACGAAAUCUUAUUGGAGAUGCAAUCAGAAUCUUUAAUAAUACUGAUGGAAGGAGAGAGCUGGAUCCCACAGAUACCCAUAGAAGAACAAGUGAACAUAACAUCAAUUGAGCAGAAGUCUGAUUCCGAAAAAAUAAAUGAAAUCAUAUCCCUUGACUCCGCAGCAUACAUGGAAUCUUUUGCAAAUCGGAGAUGUUCAACAGUGGAUGAUAGAACCCCUCUGCCUCCAUUUUCUGACCUGGUGCAUAGAAGUCUUCUGGCUGGCAAUUCAAGAGGGAUAUGGCAUAAAAUGGUUGAUGAAGCAUCUAAUUAUUACCUGGCUAAUUAUCCCAGCCUAAGUGACAGGCCAUUGGAAAAAAGCUGUAUAGCAAAUACCCAUGCAUUAAGCAUGAAGGGAAUGAACCGUGGUCCUUAUUUUCUAAGUGCCUCAGUCAGAAGAUGAGGCACAUGAGGUGGUCUUUAAAAAGGUAAAACCUGCCCAUUGACUCCAGUUCGGCACCAAUUAUGGCAAAGAAAGCCCAGGUACCUACCAUACAGAGGCGUGAAGAACGGCCCGAUGAAGAAUACGACCGCCAUGUCGAAGAAUUAAGAAAAGAAUUUGACAAAAAUAAGCCUGAUGACAAUCACAUAGACAUUCUUCUUAAAGAAACGUUUGGCAAUCGUCGAUUGUGGCUGACCACUCUUCCAGCUGGAAGAAUUAAACCAAUUGUUGAAGUUUACCCUUGUUUUGAAUGGGGACAAUUUGUAAUGGGUGAAUUUGCAAUGGUCCUUGGAAGUACAUGAUUUGAAACAUUGUGCAAAAGGGCUGAACAGGUUAGGACGGUCUCUGAGUUACUGAUUGGAUCCAAGAAAGAGGUGAGGAAAUAAACGAUCACAAAACACAUUGUAUUCUUGUGAAUGACUUGUGGCUUUGCCAGCUGGAAACGCACGAAGGUAACAAACAAAAAGAACAACAAACCUCCUCCCUCUCCCCCUUCACACCCCGCCACUGU